GUAGCUGCUACCAGAGCUCUCAUCGUACCUCCAGAGCUCUUCUUCCUUCCUUUCUCUAUCUCUUUCUCUUUCUUUCUCUUUAUCGCUUACUUUCCAUUCUUUCUCUCUUCCUGUGCUUUCAUCCUGUACGACGAUUCGUUCAUUUGAAUCUCAGAAUCAGCCCCUGUUCUAAUCAUUCGCACCAACCGAUAUUGUAUCGUGGUGCGAAUUUGUUUUGACCGAUCGUCGGUCGAAGGAACCCACUAGCAAGCAUGUCAUGCUGCCGUUGUUGCUAUUAGCCAACGUCUCGUAGUCAUCGCGAUAUUGUUUGUUAUGUGUAUAUAUAUAUGUGUAUAUAUAUAUGUAUAUAUAUAUAUACACACACACAUAUAUAUCGUGCUCUAUUGUGAGACUAUGUAACAUCGUGUUUGUGUACUUAUAUGUGUGUUCUUACAUGUGUGUGUAUAUCAGUGCGCGUGGUGAAAACGUAUUCGAUAAGAACGUAUGUAGUGAUCACGAAACGGUCCCGAUUGACGAAAUUAAUAUUGAAGCUACAAUUAAAGGCCGCAUUUCUGACCGUCAGCGAGCGACGGACGGAGGAUUGGAAACUUGCUUGCUAACCAUCGCUGUUGCACGACAAUCGCUCACUAGGAAAUUUACGUGCCACACAAACGUUAGUUUACCCCUUGCCUUAAAAUUUUGAAUCCACUUGUGGCGUGGAUUACACGACCAGUUAUUAAUUUCGUCGAUUAUCGAUUCUCUGAAGAAUGACUUGACUAAACUGUUGGAUAUUUGAUACGUCGAGAGAAGUUGGGCCCUGAAUUAACGAAAUCAUGAAUUUUUAUGAUGUGCAAAACGGUUCGACCGCCUUUGCGGUUCCGUUGAAAGUUGUCAAUGGACGAUGUAGCAAAUGGAUGAAGUAAAUUUUGCGGCCGUGGCAACUGUACGGGCUAGAAACGCAUGUGGCCAAGGCUCUGCUGGAACGUUUUAACGCCUAAGGCAGUCUACAUACACAGUGUCUCAUGGAAUAUCGGGUCAUUCUAUAAAUUCAUACGAAUUUUUAGAAUACGUGACAAACGACAUAAAAAUAUUCAUUCUACAUUGAUUUAUGUAAUAUUCUAUAUUACGUCGAAAGUUCAAAUACCACUCUGUCACAAUACAUCAGUUUUAUAUUUUAGUUUAAAUCUUUUCACGCGACCAGAAACAACGCCGUCUCUCGUUUUCUCAAGUAUAAAGUCGUUUUAACGCGAACGAACGUCGGGAGACGAAAAUAAAGGACAGAUCUUAUAUAGACUAUCGUUAUAUAUGCAAUAUCUUAUUUAUGUAAUAUUCGGUUACGAAAUAAAAUUAUGCUCGAUUGUAUACAGCGUGCGUCUGUACGACGUGCGAGGAAAGUUAGCUGAUGCAUGACUUUUGAAGUACACGGUAUACACGGACGAUAGUGGUACACGUACACGUAAGGUGUGAAUAACGCAAUAAUGUGCGGUACGGAACGAGUUUAAAAUGUUGCCACGGCGGAAAAAAGAUAUUCCCAACCGUGGGAAACAAUUGGACUUUCCUGCGGUCCUUUUGUUACAUAUAUUGAACUUGUAAUUUGGAAUAUCGCGUCUUCGUUCCGAAUAUACCCACGAUAUCGAGUGAAAAAUAAUAUUACGAGCUGCUGCAUCGAGUUUAAUCGUCACUUAUACAGUGCGCCCACGCUUUCAUCGAUAUCUUCCGCUGAAUUUUUAUAUUCAUUGAUUUCUUGCUUUUGUGUUCCUCGAAAGCAGGAAAAUAUAUUUUAAACUUCGUAAUUUUUACACUUUGAUAAAAAUACCGAAAUUAAAAUAAAACUGGGAUGUACUAUGAGAAAUUGAAAUAGGAUAUCGAUGAAGGUAUCGAAAUAAAAAACAUAGAAUAUCACUGGACGAAUUGGAAGAACAGCGUAUGUAUUAUGUUUCGUAAUAUACGUAACGCGAUCACACGUAAGUCACAUUUUAAAAAAGAGAAUAAAAGUAUAUUUAUCAGCUUUUUCUCCUGUGAUCAUAUUACAUAAAUCUAAGAUUUAUUCUUGGUA